GCUUACGACCAUACCACGUUGAAAGCACGCCCUAUCCCCCUGUGUGCCUUGGCAGUCUGGCAGAGUUAAGCAACGUUGGGCCUCCUUAGUACUUGGAACGGAGACGUCCUGGGAAUCGGCGGUGUUGUAGGCU
rnacentral:rRNA from 1 species